rnacentral:rRNA from 1 species
AGAGUUUGAUCAUGGCUCAGAUUGAACGCUGGCGGCAUGCUUUACACAUGCAAGUCGAACGGUAACAGGCCGCAAGGUGCUGACGAGUGGCGAACGGGUGAGUAAUGCAUCGGAACGUGCCCGGUCGUGGGGGAUAACACUUCGAAAGAAGUGCUAAUACCGCAUACGAUCUGAGGAUGAAAGCGGGGGACCGUAAGGCCUCGCGCGAUCGGAGCGGCCGAUGUCAGAUUAGGUAGUUGGUGGGGUAAAGGCUCACCAAGCCAACGAUCUGUAGCUGGUCUGAGAGGACGACCAGCCACACUGGGACUGAGACACGGCCCAGACUCCUACGGGAGGCAGCAGUGGGGAAUUUUGGACAAUGGGCGCAAGCCUGAUCCAGCAAUGCCGCGUGCAGGAAGAAGGCCUUCGGGUUGUAAACUGCUUUUGUACGGAACGAAACGGUCCGGGUUAAUACCCUGGGCUAAUGACGGUACCGUAAGAAUAAGCACCGGCUAACUACGUGCCAGCAGCCGCGGUAAUACGUAGGGUGCAAGCGUUAAUCGGAAUUACUGGGCGUAAAGCGUGCGCAGGCGGUUUUGUAAGACAGGCGUGAAAUCCCCGGGCUCAACCUGGGAAUUGCGCUUGUGACUGCAAGGCUGGAGUGCGGCAGAGGGGGAUGGAAUUCCGCGUGUAGCAGUGAAAUGCGUAGAUAUGCGGAGGAACACCGAUGGCGAAGGCAAUCCCCUGGGCCUGCAC